AAACUUAAAUGAAUUGACGGGACCCGCACAAGCGGUGGAUGAUGUGGAUUAAUUCGAUGCAACGCGAAAAACCUUACCUACCCUUGACAUGUCCGGAAUCCUGCAGAGAUGCGGGAGUGCCCGAAAGGGAAUCGGAACACAGGUGCUGCAUGGCUGUCGUCAGCUCGUGUCGUGAGAUGUUGGGUUAAGUCCCGCAACGAGCGCAACCCUUGCCAUUAGUUGCUACGAAAGGGCACUCUAAUGGGACUGCCGGUGACAAACCGGAGGAAGGUGGGGAUGACGUCAAGUCCUCAUGGCCCUUAUAGGUGGGGCUACACACGUCAUACAAUGGCCGGUACAGAGGGUAGCCAACCCGCGAGGGGGAGCCAAUCCCACAAAGCCGGUCGUAGUCCGGAUCGCAGUCUGCAACUCGACUGCGUGAAGUCGGAAUCGCUAGUAAUCGCGGAUCAGCAUGUCGCGGUGAAUACGUUCCCGGGUCUU
rnacentral:rRNA from 1 species